rnacentral:rRNA from 1 species
GACAGGGACGAAGCGAAAGUGACGGUACCUGUAGAAGAAGCACCGGCCAACUACGUGCCAGCAGCCGCGGUAAUACGUAGGGUGCGAGCGUUGUCCGGAAUUACUGGGCGUAAAGAGCUUGUAGGCGGUCUGUCGCGUCGAUUGUGAAAACUUGCAGCUCAACUGCAAGCUUGCAGUCGAUACGGGCAGACUAGAGUACUGCAGGGGAGACUGGAAUUCCUGGUGUAGCGGUGAAAUGCGCAGAUAUCAGGAGGAACACCGGUGGCGAAGGCGGGUCUCUGGGCAGUAACUGACGCUGAGAAGCGAAAGCGUGGGUAGCGAACAGGAUUAGAUACCCUGGUAGUCCACGCCGUAAACGGUGGGUACUAGGUGUGGGUUUCCUUCCACGGGAUCCGUGCCGUAGCUAACGCAUUAAGUACCCCGCCUGGGGAGUACGGCCGCAAGGCUAAAACUCAAAGGAAUUGACGGGGGCCCGCACAAGCGGCGGAGCAUGUGGAUUAAUUCGAUGCAACGCGAAGAACCUUACCUGGGUUUGACAUACACCGGAAAGCCAUAGAGAUAUGGCCCCCCUUGUGGUCGGUGUACAGGUGGUGCAUGGCUGUCGUCAGCUCGUGUCGUGAGAUGUUGGGUUAAGUCCCGCAACGAGCGCAACCCUUAUCUUAUGUUGCCAGCGCGUAAUGGCGGGGACUCGUGAGAGACUGCCGGGGUCAACUCGGAGGAAGGUGGGGACGACGUCAAGUCAUCAUGCCCCUUAUGUCCAGGGCUUCACACAUGCUACAAUGGCCGGUACAGAGGGCUGCGAUACCGUGAGGUGGAGCGAAUCCCUUAAAGCCGGUCUCAGUUCGGAUCGGGGUCUGCAACUCGACCCCGUGAAGUUGGAGUCGCUAGUAAUCGCAGAUCAGCAACGCUGCGGUGAAUACGUUCCCGGGCCUUGUACACACCUCCCGUACACGUCAUGAAAGUCGGUAAC